CGAACACUUUCGUCCCGCCCUUUCCCUCAUGCUCGUUAUUGGCACCGCGCCAUUGGCUCGGUCCUACACCCCUCCCGCACCUCUGAGGUUCCAUUGGCCAGAACGGGAUGUCUGUCAUCCACUCAGUCCAACCCUUCCACACAGAGUAGGAACUUCUCAUUGGCCAGAUGAAUUGUCAAAUGCCGAAUCUGGGAGGCGGGGUGAGGGUGUGCUUAAAGGGGGCGUGACAGGUCGCCUAACUGAGCUGUCUACUUCUGCCCUCUUUCUAUUGGCUGGUAGACGAAAUGCAGUUUUAUGGUUGGCCGCAGCUUCUGCCCAUUAUCAACCAGGUCUUCCGAGGUGGGAGAAAGGAGGGAAUCAUGCAGCGUGCUGGUUCUUUGAAAGGCGAUUGAGGGGAGGAGUAACGGGAAAAUACAGGCGGGGGACCGCUUCCCAAGAAUCCCUGCGCAGAAAGCCUUAGAAUAAAUGUUAUUUCUAGGCGCCGACCUGCUUUCGGCCGAAAGUGGGUACGCCAGAUUUCUUUGAGAAUAGCAGCUAAAGUUUGAAAAUAAAUCGACAAACACUUUUUGGGCCCCUACCCUGUUCUUGGUUUUGCCGCGUGCUGGGGCUGAAGUGAUGUACGCGACGCCCCUGUGACCGCGUGGCAGUCGUGCCAGCCUCCUGACAGGAACGACCUUCCCCUUGACUUCGCUUUUUAGAAACAAAGGUCCAGUCUACUUUCUGGGGAGCUACGGCGCGCAAAAGGACAAUGCUCAGGUGUGAAGAGCCGUCCUGCACGUUAGAUUGAGCUGCAGUAGUCCCCAAUCUGCUUAUUCUCCCCGGAUGCACUGAGAAAGGGACGCACGUGCUUCCCUGACUAAACCUUGUGCUUUCCUGGCCUCCGCUAUGUGACAGGAAGGGGAGUUGCAGUUAGGGCUGAAGAAGAAGGAGGAAAAGACUAGAAAGAGGUCUUCUGAAUUCCCCUGCUGCUGCCCUCUCCAUUCACCCAGGAGAAGAGAGAGUGGUGGUGAAGUGGGGGGUACCAUGGACCACCCCAGAGCUGCCUGCCAGCUGCUCCUCCUGGCUCCUUAUCGGCCAGAAAGAAGCUCAAGUUUCCCCAGCACAGACAAUCAGAUGCUGCUUCAGAGCCCUAGGAAGCUGGGAGUUUCUUCUGAAAAAGGUACCUGGCUGGCUGAGUGUGAUCUGCCCUGGACCAGCAUGGGGGGUAGUGGGGGGGCUGCUCCUACAGCAGAACUGGGUGCAGUGCCAGGUGGAAAGCGGGAGAGGUCAAGCUGCAGAUGCCUCCCCUUUUCCCUGGGGAGAAGUUGAAGCUGAACAGAAGAGGCCCCUUGAGGUGGCCCCAUCAGCCACCAAGAGGAACUCAGAACCCAGACCUGGCUGUCAGCUGCAGGCAGGUUGCCCCAUCCCCAGGCUUAGCUUUUCCCACUAAAACAUGAAGGGCUGGCCUUGAGCUCUCCAAGGUCCCUCCUGCUCUGCUCGGCGUGGUCCCUGCAGAGCCUGCCUGUUCUGUAUUUGAAACUCAUCCCUCCCCCAUGCGGUUUAUCCACCUGGCCUCCUCUUCCUCCUCUUCUUCCUCCUCCUCCUCCCAGAGCUGCAUCGCUGACAGCUCUGGUUUACAGCAGAGCAAAUGUCCUGGGCUGCCACUGUUGUCUUGCCAUUGUUGCAAAAGCGGCCUUGGAUAAGAUGCAAAUGAAUGAGCCUGAAGCCACGCACCAUGGCCCACACAGGUAAUCCCAGCUCGGGGAGGCCGAGGCAGGAAGAUUGCCGGGAGUUAAAGGCCAGCCUGGGCUGCCUAGCAAGACCCAGUCUCAAACAACCAAAGGGAGGGGGUGCACCGAAUGUGAACGUGUCCCCAGGAAACCAGUUUAUGGCGAUGAAGUUUGUGUCAUCGUUUUCUUGAUGUGCUUGGGAUUGAAUCCAAGACCUCAGUGCAUUGUAUUCCUACUCCCCCCACCCCCACACUGUUUAGUUUUUUUUAAAGACAGUCUUUCUAAGUGAGUAAAUUGCCCAGGCUAUGCUCUGGGUUUGUGUUCCUCCUGCCUCAGCCUCCCAGAGAGCUAGAAUUACAGGCAUGUGUCACCACUCCCAGCAUUCUUGCCACUUUCGGAAAGCAGUUCUAGAAGUCUUCUUUGUGACUGUCUUUAGGAAGUGUGUUGUAGUCGGGGUUUACUAGGGAAAAUACUUAGUACAGUACUCAAAGCAUCAAAUGCAAAAAGUGCAGGAGAGCU